rnacentral:rRNA from 1 species
AGCGAACGCUGGCGGCAGGCCUAACACAUGCAAGUCGAGCGGGCACCUUCGGGUGUCAGCGGCAGACGGGUGAGUAACACGUGGGAACGUGCCCUUUGGUUCGGGACAACUCCGGGAAACUGGAGCUAAUACCGGAUAAGCCCUUCGGGGGAAGAUUUAUCGCCAAAGGAUCGGCCCGCGUCUGAUUAGCUAGUUGGUGAGGUAACGGCUCACCAAGGCGACGAUCAGUAGCUGGUCUGAGAGGAUGAUCAGCCACACUGGGACUGAGACACGGCCCA